GGGCUGGCUCAGGGUAGAGCAUCUACUUGGCAUGCAGAAGGUCCCAGGUUCAAUCUUUAGCAUCUUCA
rnacentral:tRNA from 1 species